GCGAAAUACGAUACGGGACUCAUCCGAGGCCCCGUAAUCGGAAUGAGUACACUCUAAACCCUUUAACGAGGAUCAAUUGGAGGGCAAGUCUGGUGCCAGCAGCCGCGGUAAUUCCAGCUCCAAUAGCGUAUAUUAAAGUUGUUGCGGUUAAAAAGCUCGUAGUCGAAUUUGUGUCCCACGCCGCUGGUUCAUCGCUCGCGGUGUCAACUGGCGUGUCCGCGGGACGUCCUGCCGGUGGGCUUAGCCUUUCGGGGCGGCCCAAUCUCAAUCCCACCGCGGUGCCCUUCACUGAGUGUCGAGGUGGGCCGGCACGUUUACUUUGAACAAAUUAGAGUGCUUAAAGCAGGCUAAAACUUCGCCUGAAUACUGUGUGCAUGGAAUAAUGGAAUAGGACCUCGGUUCUAUUUUGUUGGUUUUCGGAACCCCGAGGUAAUGAUUAAUAGGAACGGAUGGGGGCAUUCGUAUUGCGACGUUAGAGGUGAAAUUCUUGGAUCGUCGCAAGACGGACAGAAGCGAAAGCAUUUGCCAAAAACGUUUUCAUUGAUCAAGAACGAAAGUUAGAGGUUCGAAGGCGAUCAGAUACCGCCCUAGUUCUAACCAUAAACGAUGCCAGCUAGCGAUCCGCCGACGUUCCUCCGAUGACUCGGCGGGCAGCUUCCGGGAAACCAAAGCUUUUGGGUUCCGGGGGAAGUAUGGUUGCAAAGCUGAAACUUAAAGGAAUUGACGGAAGGGCACCACCAGGAGUGGAGCCUGCGGCUUAA
rnacentral:rRNA from 1 species